rnacentral:rRNA from 1 species
GACGAACGCUGGCGGCGUGCUUAACACAUGCAAGUCGAACGAGUGGCGAACGGGUGAGUAACACGUGGGUGAUCUGCCUUGCACUACGGGAUAAGCUUGGGAAACUGGGUCUAAUACCGGAUAGUGCAAGAUGAGCUCGCGGCCUAUCAGCUGGUUGGGGGGGUAAUGGCUACCAAGGCGCGACGGGUAGCCGGCCUGAGAGGGGGUACGGCCCCAUUGGGCCUGAGAUACGGCUCAGACUCCUACGGGAGGCAGCAGUGGGGCAUAUUGCACAAUGCGCGAACGCCUGAUGCAGCGACGCCGCGUGGGGGAUGAAGGCUGUCGGGUUGUAAACCUCUUUCGAUAUCGAACGGGUAGGUGGAGAAGAAGCGCCGGCUAACUACGUGCCAGCAGCCGCGGUAAUAC